UACGAAGGGGCUAGCGUUGCUCGGAAUCACUGGGCGUAAAGCGCACGUAGGCGGCUUUCUAAGUCAGGGUGAAAUCCUGGAGCUCAACUCCAGAACUGCCUUUGAUACUGGGAGCUCGAGUCCGGAAGAGGUGAGUGGAACUCCGAGUGUAGAGGUGAAAUUCGUAGAUAUUCGGAAGAACACCAGUGGCGAAGGCGGCUCACUGGUCCGGUACUGACGCUGAGGUGCGAAAGCGUGGGGAGCAAACAGG
rnacentral:rRNA from 1 species